rnacentral:miRNA from 1 species
UAAAUGCACCUAUCUGGUAUGC